GACGAACGCUGGCGGCGUGCUUAACACAUGCAAGUCGAACGGAAAGGCCCUGCUUUUGUGGGGUGCUCGAGUGGCGAACGGGUGAGUAACACGUGAGUAACCUGCCCUUGACUUUGGGAUAACUUCAGGAAACUGGGGCUAAUACCGGAUAGGAGCUCCUGCUGCAUGGUGGGGGUUGGAAAGUUUCGGCGGGUGGGGAUGGACUCGCGGCUUAUCAGCUUGUUGGUGGGGUAGUGGCUUACCAAGGCUUUGACGGGUAGCCGGCCUGAGAGGGUGACCGGCCACAUUGGGACUGAGAUACGGCCCAGACUCCUACGGGAGGCAGCAGUGGGGAAUAUUGCACAAUGGGCGGAAGCCUGAUGCAGCAACGCCGCGUGCGGGAUGACGGCCUUCGGGUUGUAAACCGCUGUCGCCUGUGACGAAGCGUGAGUGACGGUAAUGGGUAAAGAAGCACCGGCUAACUACGUG
rnacentral:rRNA from 1 species